rnacentral:rRNA from 1 species
GUAUGGUGCAAGCGUUAUCCGGAAUCAUUGGGCGUAAAGAGCUCGUAGGCGGGUUCAGCAAGUCGGGCUGUGAAAUCCCGAGGCUUAACCUCGGAACUGCAGUCGAUACUGCUGUGACUAGAGUCCGGUAGAGGAGAAUGGAAUUCCCGGUGUAGCGGUGAAAUGCGCAGAUAUCGGGAGGAACACCAGUAGCGAAGGCGGUUCUCUGGGCCGGUACUGACGCUGAGGAGCGAAAGCGUGGGUAGCAAACAGGAUUAGAUACCCUGGUAGUCCACGCCGUAAACGUUGGACACUAGGUGUGGCGUUCCGACCAACGGGUGCCGUGCCGAAGCUAACGCAUUAAGUGUCCCGCCUGGGGAGUACGGCCGCAAAGGCUA